GGAGUAUGAGAAAUUGUCUCUAUGUUUUUUAAAUUGUAAAAUAAUUGUUCAUGAUCUAUUUAAUUGUAGACAAUUACAAACAAAAUGACAAUGUUUUUUCUGGUGGGGAGAAGAUAAUUGGUGCAAAAAAUAAAACAACAUUAUUGCCAAAGGUGUGCACAAGAUGAGACUAAAGGCUUUUUAGCUUAAAUGUUAGAACCUAUAAUGGAGUUGGUAAAGGAGCCUGUGGUGAAAUUUGUGGAGGAGCCUAUGGUGAAAUUUGUGGAGGAGCUUAUAGUGAAAUUUGUGGUGGAGCCUAUGAUGGAACUUGUGAUGACACUUAUGGUGAAGCCUGUGGUGGAGGUGCAACCUGUUGCUGUUAGUGGAAAAUAGGAAGUGCACUUGAUGCUCAAAUGUAUCCAUUGUAUUCUUCUUCAUUAUCGUUUAUACCUUGAACCCACAAGAACAAAAAAGAUACUCGAACAAACGAUUAGCUUACUUUUUAUUGAUAGCGGUUCAUUUUACGUGUUUUUG
rnacentral:lncRNA from 1 species